ACCUAGGGGCGCAGCAGUGAGGAAUAUUGGUCAAUGGGCGGAAGCCUGAACCAGCCAAGUCGCGUGAGGGAAGAAGGCCCUGCGGGUCGCAGACCUCUUUGGACGGGGAGCAAGGCCGCCGACGUGUCGGCGGAAGGAGAGUACCCGUAGAACAAGCAUCGGCUAACUCCGUGCCAGCAGCCGCGGUAAUACGGAGGAUGCGAGCGUUAUCCGGAUUUAUUGGGUUUAAAGGGUGCGUAGGCGGUUUUUUAAGUUAGUGGUUAAACGUCGGGGCUUCACCUUGAUUUGCCAUUAAUACUGUAAGA
rnacentral:rRNA from 1 species